CUCUGCCCUGGGUGGAGGGCAGCCAGAAAGGCAGUUGCAGCAUUCUCUGUCUUGAUCCUCUCCAGGUUGUCA
rnacentral:miRNA from 14 species